rnacentral:rRNA from 1 species
CACGGGGGGAGCAAGCGUUGUUCGGAAUCACUGGGCGUAAAGGGCGUGUAGGCGGUUGCGUAAGUGGAAUGUGAAAUCCCCCGGCUUACCCGGGGACCUGCAUCCCAAACUGCGCGACUUGAGUAUGGGAGAGGAUGAGGGAAUUCCUGGUGUAGCGGUGAAAUGCGUAGAUAUCUGGAGGAACACCGGUGGCGAAGGCGGCAUCCUGGACCGGCAUUGACGCUGAGGCGCGAAAGCCAGGGGAGCAAACGGG